rnacentral:rRNA from 1 species
AACGCUGGCGCAGGCCUAACACAUGCAAGUCGACGGACCCUUCGGGGUUAGUGCGGACGGGUGAGUAACACGUGGGAACGUGCCUUUAGGUUCGGAAUAGCUCCUGGAAACGGGUGGUAAUGCCGAAUGUGCCCUUCGGGGGAAAGAUUUAUCGCCUUUAGAGCGGCCCGCGUCUGAUUAGCUAGUUGGUGAGGUAACGGCUCACCAAGGCGACGAUCAGUAGCUGGUCUGAAGGAUGACCAGCCACGACUGGGACUGAGACUACGGCCCAGACUCCUACGGGAGGCAGCAGUGGGGAAUCUUGCGCAAUGGGCGAAAGCCUGACGCAGCCAUGCCGCGUGAAUGAUGAAGGUCUUAGGAUUGUAAAAUUCUUUCACCGGGGACGAUAAUGACGGUACCGGA